rnacentral:rRNA from 1 species
GACGAACGCUGGCGGCGUGCUUAACACAUGCAAGUCGAACGGUGACGAGGAGCUUGCUCCUCUGAUCAGUGGCGAACGGGUGAGUAACACGUGAGCAACCUGCCCCAGACUCUGGGAUAACAGUUGGAAACAGCUGCUAAUACCGGAUACGAGACGGAGAGGCAUCUCUACCGUCUGGAAAGUUUUUUCGGUCUGGGAUGGACUCGCGGCCUAUCAGCUAGUUGGUGAGGUAAUGGCUCACCAAGGCGACGACGGGUAGCCGGCCUGAGAGGGCGACCGGCCACACUGGGACUGAGACACGGCCCAGACUCCUACGGGAGGCAGCAGUGGGGAAUAUUGCACAAUGGGCGAAAGCCUGAUGCAGCCAUUCCGCGUGAGUGAAGAAGGCC